AUUGAACGCUGGCGGCAGGCCUAACACAUGCAAGUCGAGCGGAUGAAGGGAGCUUGCUCCUGGAUUCAGCGGCGGACGGGUGAGUAAUGCCUAGGAAUCUGCCUGGUAGUGGGGGAUAACGUCCGGAAACGGGCGCUAAUACCGCAUACGUCCUGCGGGAGAAAGUGGGGGAUCUUCGGACCUCACGCUAUCAGAUGAGCCUAGGUCGGAUUAGCUAGUUGGUGGGGUAAAGGCCUACCAAGGCGACGAUCCGUAACUGGUCUGAGAGGAUGAUCAGUCACACUGGAACUGAGACACGGUCCAGACUCCUACGAGAGGCAGCAGUGGGGAAUAUUGGACAAUGGGCGAAAGCCUGAUACAGCCAUGCCGCGUGUGUGAAGAAGGUCUUCGGAUUGUAAAGCACUUUAAGUUGGGAGGAAGGGCAGUAAGUUAAUACCUUGCUGUUUUGACGUUACCAACAGAAUAAGCACCGGCUAACUUCGUG
rnacentral:rRNA from 1 species